rnacentral:misc_RNA from 1 species
UACGGAGGGGGCUAGCGUUGUUCGGAAUGACUGGGCGUAAAGGGCGCGUAGGCGGUUUAUUAAGUGAGGCGUGAAAGCCCUGGGCUUAACCCAGGAGGUGCGUUUCAUACUGGUAAGCUAGAGUACGAGAGAGGAAAGCGGAAUUCCUAGUGUAGAGGUGAAAUUCGUAGAUAUUAGGAAGAACACCAGAGGCGAAGGCGGCUUUCUGGCUCGUAACUGACGCUGAGGCGCGAAAGCGUGGGGAGCAAACAGG